GAGCCAGGGAAGUGGGUGACAAGGCAGGAAUCCAUAGGAACUACAAACUCUUUCAGGGGAGGAAAUAGGGCAAGCACCUUAUGAACACUUGACAUUUAAAAAUUAUACUUCAAAGGACUUUCUCAAUGGAUUGGGACUUCUGUUCAUGUAAGUUGUUUUUAUGACUCAGUAUGCUGAGGCUUCCUCUGGGAGCCAAGCAGCACAGAGGAGCUGGAGCCUUGGCAGGAGCAGGAGGUGCCCCGAGCAGCUCUGCAAGGAGUGAGUGCCCUCACUGCUCUGUCACCAGCAGUCCCUGGGAGCCAUCAGCACCCACCAGCCGUUCCCUGAGAUAAGGCCAAGCCAGCUGGGAGGAGAAUGCCUUUGAUAUUCCUGCCUUGCUGAGCAGAGCAACACGGGAGCAGCAGGGAGAGGUGGCUUUGUCCUGGAGGAUCCAGGAGCUCGGGGUGGAUAUCUGAGCCUGCAGCUCCAGGCUGCAGCAGGACCCAAGGGCUGCACACACCCAGAUACAGGUACUCUCA